UGGGGAAUAUUGCACAAUGGGCGCAAGCCUGAUGCAGCCAUGCCGCGUGUAUGAAGAAGGCCUUCGGGUUGUAAAGUACUUUCAGCGGGGAGGAAGGGAGUAAAGUUAAUACCUUUGCUCAUUGACGUUACCCGCAGAAGAAGCACCGGCUAACCCCGUGCCAGCAGCCGCGGUAAUACGGCGGGUGCAAGCGCUAAUCGGAAUUACUGGGCGUAAAGCGCACGCAGGCGGUUUGUUAAGUCAGAUGUGAAAUCCCCGGGCUCAACCUGGGGACUGCAUCUGAUACUGGCAAGCUUGAGUCUCGUAGAGGGGGGUAGAAUUCCAGGUGUAGCGGUGAAAUGCGUAGAGAUCUGGAGGAAUACCGGUGGCGAAGGCGGCCCCCUGGACGAAGACUGACGCUCAGGUGCGAAAGCGUGAGGAGCAAACAGG
rnacentral:rRNA from 1 species